UCGGGAGGGAGACAAAUCGUAAGAGACUCUUAAUCUCAUAAAACAAACUGAGGGGGAGGGAGGGAGGGAUAGGGUGGUGGGGUUAUGGACAUUGGAGAGGGUAUGUGCUAUGGUGAGUGCUAUGAAAUGUGUAAGCCUGAUGAUUCAUAGACCUGUACCCCUGGGGCAAAUAAUACAUUAUAUGUUAAU